CCCUAGCCCCGAUAGCAGUGAAAAUCCUUGUUGCCCGGGGUUCGGGCAACAAGAUUGUAACGGAUAGCGGGAACCAUA
rnacentral:sRNA from 1 species